AACUGAAGAGUUUGAUCCUGGCUCAGAUUGAACGCUGGCGGCAUGCCUAACACAUGCAAGUCGAACGCGAAAUCACCUUCGGGUGAAAGUAGAGUGGCGGACGGGUGAGUAACGCGUGGGAAUCUGCCCAGUAGUGGGGGAUAACUCGGGGAAACUCGAGCUAAUACCGCAUACGCCCCAAGGGGGAAAGGCUUCGGCCGCUAUUGGAUGAGCCCGCGUCAGAUUAGCUAGUUGGUGGGGUAAUGGCCUACCAAGGCGACGAUCUGUAGCUGGUCUGAGAGGACGAACAGCCACACUGGGACUGAGACACGGCCCAGACUCCUACGGGAGGCAGCAGUGGGGAAUAUUGGACAAUGGGCGAAAGCCUGAUCCAGCAAUGCCGCGUGUGUGAAGAAGGCCUGCGGGUUGUAAAGCACUUUC
rnacentral:rRNA from 1 species